rnacentral:rRNA from 1 species
UACAGAGGGGGGCAAGCGUUAUUCGGAAUUAUUGGGCGUAAAGGGCGCGUAGGCGGCAUCGCAAGUGGAAAGGUGAAAUCCCUCGGCUUAACCGAGGAACUGCCCUCCAAACUGCGUUGCUUGAGACCGGGAGAGGUGAGUGGAAUUCCCAGUGUAGCGGUGAAAUGCGUAGAUAUUGGGAGGAACACCAGUGGCGAAGGCGGCUCACUGGACCGGAACUGACGCUGAGGCGCGAAAGCGUGGGGAGCAAACAGGG